rnacentral:rRNA from 1 species
UACAGAGGUGUCAAACGUUGUCCGGAAUUACUGGGCGUAAAGGGCGCGUAGGCGGCCUUAUAAGUCAUUUGUGAAAGCUCUGGGCUCAACCCAGGAAUUGCAAGUGAUACUGUAAGGCUUGAGUUCGGUAGAGGAGGGCGGAAUUCCAGGUGUAGCGGUGAAAUGUGUAGAGAUCGGGAGGAACACCGGUGGCGAAGGCGGGUCUCUGGGCAUCUCCUGACGCUGAGGCGCGAAAGCGUGGGGAGCAAACGGG